ensembl:snRNA U6 U6 spliceosomal RNA
GUGCUUGCUUCGGCAGCACAUAUACUAAAAUUGGAACGAUACAGAGAAGAUUAGCAUAGCCCCUGUGCAAGGAUGACAUGCAAAUUCGUGAAGUGUUCCAUAUAUUU